rnacentral:rRNA from 1 species
AAUACGGGGGGAGCAAGCGUUGUUCGGAUUUACUGGGCGUAAAGGGCGCGUAGGCGGCCACCGCAAGUCGACUGUGAAAUCUCCGGGCUUAACCCGGAAAGGUCAGCCGAUACUGCGGGGCUAGAGUGCAGAAGGGCCAACUGGGAUUCUCGGUGUAGCGGUGAAAUGCGUAGAUAUCGAGAGGAACACCUGCGGCGAAGGCGGGUUGCUGGGCUGACACUGACGCUGAGACGCGAAAGCUAGGGGAGCGAACGGGA